rnacentral:rRNA from 1 species
GACGAACGCUGGCGGCGUGCUUAACACAUGCAAGUCGAACGAUGAUGCCCAGCUUGCUGGGUGGAUUAGUGGCGAACGGGUGAGUAACACGUGAGUAACCUGCCCCUGACUCUGGGAUAAGCGUUGGAAACGACGUCUAAUACUGGAUACGACUGCCGGCCGCAUGGUCUGGUGGUGGAAAGAUUUUUUGGUUGGGGAUGGACUCGCGGCCUAUCAGCUUGUUGGUGAGGUAAUGGCUCACCAAGGCGACGACGGGUAGCCGGCCUGAGAGGGUGACCGGCCACACUGGGACUGAGACACGGCCCAGACUCCUACGGGAGGCAGCAGUGGGGAAUAUUGCACAAUGGGCGAAAGCCUGAUGCAGCAACGCCGCGUGAGGGAUGACGGCCUUCGGGUUGUAAACCUCUUUUAGUAGGGAAGAAGCGAAAGUGACGGUACCUGCAGAAAAAGCACCGGCUAACUACGUGCCAGCCGCCGCGGUAA